UUCAGCUCCCGGCCAUUAUUGCUGUGUCUGAAGCACAGGAGAGACUUUUAGAUGGAGCUACAAAACAGCCACCUCCUGGGAUUUGUAAAGUUUGCCUUUUGGAAUCCCAGUUAAAUAGAGUGUGGGAUUUUGUUUCUCCUGGAUGGCUACAGGAAAAACCCAUAUUAAUUACCAUUUAGUGUUACACAGGAUGAAAGACAAGGACUCCAUGUAGUAAGGACUUGGACAGGAAGCAGUCUCAGGCUUUUCCACCUGAUUUCCCACUAUGGCUGUGCCUUCAGCAUCAGCACCAGCAGCUGUUCCAGCACUCCCUUCCAGCCCAUUGACAGGUGCUGCCAUUUUACAUCCUUUCCACAGCUUAUGAAUCAUGAGCCAGGAGCCUUACAGAGGUAUUGUGUUGGCAAAGAGACUUCUGUUUCCAAGAUCCUUUUCUUCUAUUCUCCGAGGGUGGAGUGUUGUUCCCCCCACCCCCCGCACCUCCCCCGUUCCAAAAGGGAGGAAGGAGUAGGGGAAAUGCAGCUGUUGUUUUCAGCUUUUCAAAGAGCAACUCCUGGUGUGGACUUUGCAUGGAGAAGGAGAGAGAAACUGUACUUGUCCCACCCGGACUGGGGAGUCAUUUAGGUGGCGUGGGGUUGUGCAGCUGCUCCCAGUGCUAGUGGGAGUUGUGAAUCAUGGGAUCAUGAAAUAGUUUGGGUUGGGAGAGGGCUGAAAACUCAUCUCAUUCCACCCGCUGCCAUGAGCAGGAACAGCUGGCACUACAGCAGGUUGUUCGGGAGUCUCGUUCAUCCUUUGGGAUGGGGUGAUGGGACGCCGGAAGCGGGACAGGCAGGAACGAUGUCUGGGACUGUAGGCAGCGCGACCUACAACUCCCAGAAGCCUCUGCGCGAGGGCCCGGCACCAGCAGCCAAUCGGAGCCCGCUCUAUCGCACUAUAAAAGAUGGCCGCGGAGCAGUUUCCGCCUCUUUCGGCCAUGGCGGCGAGCUGGGGAGGCCUUACGGCGACCGUUGGGGACCAUCCGCCGCCAUCCUUCGUCGCUGGGGCUCUCCUGCCCCUCGGCUCCGCCGCAUCGGCGCCCUGUGAGCAUCACGUCCGGCGGCCGCGCUUCGGUGCGCUUCGAAGGCUGCGAAGGGCAGCGCGGCCUUGCCCCCGCCCUCCUCCUCAGGCCGGGCCCGGCUCCGGCUCAAGACACUCUUCUUCCCCAGCAGCAUCCUGGUGUAGAAGGUGGUCCUGGGGCAUGGGAUGGCUGGUGACGGCCUCAGCUUUGGGCAGGGGUCCUGGGUGUUCCAGAGCUCACCCAUCUGAUGGAUAAACCCAGCAAUAACUCUGUGGAAAAAGAUGAAAACCUGUGAGCCCUGUCCCAAGGGCUUCAGCUUCCCAUAGGACCUGAGUUGUGGGAAAGCUGCAGUGUGUGGAACAUGUCUAAGCAGAGGCUGAACCAUCCCUGAGGGACUUGGUGCUGCAGUUCCAAACUGUUCUUUCCCAGUCCUCUCCUCCAGAAGUGGGAGCUCUGCAGAGCCAGAUCCUGGCUCCUUCCUGAGCUAUGAGCUCCACCAAGUGGGACCAGCCGCUUCUGGGCUCCACUUACCUGCAGUGGAGGGAGAUGGAACUGGUUUGGCUCCAGGUGUUGCUGAAGCUCCCGUUCAGAUGCUCCACAUGGAAGAACAGUCUGUUCCAUGGAGUUUUCUCAGGAGGGGGUCUGGAUAUUAAAUACUUGAUUAGAGCAGGGAGCCAGUAAUGCCUAGUUGGUGUGUUUGAUCCCUGUAUGGGUCAUUCACUUAAGAGCUGGAUUCAGUGAUCCACGUGGGUCCCUUCCAACUUGGAAUAUUCUGUGUGUGUGAUAAGAGUUUGAAUAAAUGCAAUUAUUUCAAA